AUGCCAUAUUCUGGAAGCGUCAGCAGGCAUGAGAAAUGAUGCUGUGUUCCAGAGCAGUUUAGGGAUUUCAGCAAAAUCACUACAUUUGAUUACGAAAUAUGUCUUGUAUGUGAGCUGGAAUAUUCUAGUAAAGUACUAAACUUGCAAAGUCAUUGGAAUAUUCCAGUGUAACACUUGAAAAUUGCAGAAUCAUUGUAUUUGGCAGGAAUUGCUGUUCCUUCUGGGGUGGGUGGCCAACACCACAGAAUGUUCUAGCAAGAUUGGACCUACACUGGGAAAGUACUGAUUCUCAUGACUUGUGGUAAAUAAAUUGGUUAUAUGUAGCUGGGGCUCCCUGCACUCAGGCAGAAGCCUCACCUGUUGAGCGGACACACUGCCCAGGACUGUUUUCCCGAUGAAGACUCCUGCCUGACUGCAAUGGGGCUUCCCAGUCAAGAAUGAAGACAGGAUGAAGCUUUCUCUUUAUCGAUGAACAAACAAGAAUUUCAGAAGCUAAUAUACCAGAUGAUUCUGAGCAAAUGGGGAUGGCAAAAUGGGCACAUCAGAAGUGCGGACACCUGGGAGAAAAGGCCACUUACAGAUUCCAAUUCCAAUGCUAAUUGUUGCUGGUUUCGCAUUGUAUGGAGUCCCUUUGUCAGAGUGUGUAACACCAGGAGUAAGAGCAACUAAAAUGAAUUCAAUGGUACUCCAGUGGGGAUGGGCUGCUAGUACACGAAAUAGAACAUAAGAAAAUUUUACCUGCUCGGCUGGACAAGGAUGUCCUACUACCAAUUUGACUUUUGAAGGAAAUUUAACUAUUUGGAGGUUAAGAAGAUGGCAUUGUUAUGUUCAGUUACUAGAUGACAGACAAGCUACGGUAAUAAUUCAAAAUUACACAGACAUAAAAUGUUGUAAUUGUAAAUAUGAACAGACAUACUGAAAAAAAAUUACUGCUUUUGCCAGAAUGGAACGGAUAUUUAUAAUAAAUCAAUUGAUUUACAGAA